rnacentral:rRNA from 1 species
AAGCUUAAACCGGGUGGAACCGCGAAGGUCGAACGAGGGCACUCACCUCGUCGGGCGGGCGGGACCUGGGGUGCUCCGACAGGCCGGCGCCGAUGUCCAAAGUGUGAGCGCAGGAGCACCCUGUCUGUCGCGUCCCGUUCCGGCGGGCGUACUUGUCCCUCUAGUAGCAAACGCCGCGAGCCGUGGCGGGGACCAGAAGGCCCACAUAGCCCGGAUUGGUACCCUCAGUCCGGAGGGGAAACCGCGGCUGGGAAUUGCAUGGUGGCCCUGCCACGGCGUGGCCCAGGGCAGCCCUCUCGGGGGCUGCCUCGCGGCGGAGAACGAAGUCGGUGAUCCACCUGACCCGUCUUGAAACACGGACCAAG